GACGAACGCUGGCGGCGUGCUUAACACAUGCAAGUCGAACGCUGAAGCUCAGCUUUUGUUGGGUGGAUGAGUGGCGAACGGGUGAGUAACACGUGAGUAACCUGCCUCCUUCUUUGGGAUAACGCCCGGAAACGGGCGCUAAUACUGGAUAUUCACUGGUCUUCGCAUGGGGGUUGGUGGAAAGGGUUUUUCUGGUGGGGGAUGGGCUCGCGGCCUAUCAGCUUGUUGGUGGGGUGAUGGCCUACCAAGGCUUUGACGGGUAGCCGGCCUGAGAGGGUGACCGGUCACAUUGGGACUGAGAUACGGCCCAGACUCCUACGGGAGGCAGCAGUGGGGAAUAUUGCACAAUGGGCGCAAGCCUGAUGCAGCGACGCCGCGUGAGGGAUGGAGGCCUUCGGGUUGUGAACCUCUUUCGCUCAUGGUCAAGCCGCAACAAUGGUUGUGGUGAGGGUAGUGGGUAAAGAAGCGCCGGCUAACUACGUG
rnacentral:rRNA from 1 species